rnacentral:rRNA from 1 species
UACGAAGGGGGGCUAGCGUUGCUCGGAAUCACUGGGCGUAAAGGGUGCGUAGGCGGGUCUUUAAGUCAGGGGUGAAAUCCUGGAGCUCAACUCCAGAACUGCCUUUGAUACUGAAGAUCUUGAGUUCGGGAGAGGUGAAUGGAACUGCGAGUGUAGAGGUGAAAUUCGUAGAUAUUCGCAAGAACACCAGUGGCGAAGGCGGCUCACUGGCCCGAUACUGACGCUGAGGCACGAAAGCGUGGGUAGCAAACAGG